ensembl:lncRNA novel transcript
CUGCGCGUCUGCUCCUCCUUCUCGCGCUUCUCCUGCCGCCCUAAUCCUGCCUUGGCCACGAGGGAGCUUGUGCUCUCACGCAGAUCGGGCAGUGCGGGAACCAGAUCGGGGCCAAGUUCUGGGAGGUGAUCUCUGAUGAACAUGCUAUCGACUCCGCUGGCACCUACCACGGGGACAGCCACCUGCAGCUGGAGCGCAUCAACGUGCACCACCACGAGGCCAGCGGUGGCAGGUACGUGCCCCGCGCUGUGCUCGUGGAUCUGGAGCCGGGCACCAUGGACUCUGUGCGCUCGGGGCCCUUCGGGCAGGUCCUCAGGCCAGACAACUUCAUCUUCGGUCAGUGUGGGGCCGGAAACAACUGGGCCAAGGGACGCUACACCGAAGGCGCGGAGCUGACGGAGUCAGUGAUGGACGUUGUCAGAAAGGAGGCUGAGAGCUGUGACUGCCUGCAGGGUUUCCAGCUGACCCACUCCCUGGGUGGGGGGACUGGGUCUGGGAUGGUUACCCUCCUCAUCAGCAAGAUCCGGGAGGAGUACCCAGACAGGAUCAUAAACACAUUCAGCAUCCUGCCCUCGCCCAAGGUGUCAGACACCGUGGUGGAGCCCUACAACGCCACCCUCUCAGUCCACCAGCUCAUAGAAAACGCAGAUGAGACCUUCUGCAUAGAUAACGAAGCGCUAUAUGACAUAUGUUCCAAGACCCUAAAACUGCCCACACCCACCUAUGGUGACCUGAACCACCUGGUGUCUGCUACCAUGAGUGGGGUCACCACGUGCCUGCGCUUCCCAGGCCAGCUGAAUGCUGACCUGCGGAAGCUGGCCGUGAACAUGGUCCCGUUUCCCCGGCUGCAUUUCUUCAUGCCUGGCUUUGCCCCACUGACCAGCCGGGGCAGCCAGCAGUACCGGGCCUUGACUGUGGCUGAGCUCACCCAGCAGAUGUUUGAUGCUAAGAACAUGAGGGCUGCCCGUGACCCCCGUCACGGCCGCUACCUAACGGCGGCUGCCAUUUUCCAGGGUCGCAUGCCCAUGAGGGAGGUGGAUGAACAGAUGUUCAACAUUCAAGAUAAGAACAGCAGCUACUUUGCUGACUGGUUCCCCGACAACGUAAAAACAGCCAUCUGUGACAUCCCACCCCGGGGGCUAAAAAUGUCAGCCAGCUUCAUUGGGAAUAAUGCGGCCAUCCAGGAACUCUUCACGUGUGUCUCAGAGCAGUUUACAGCAAUGUUCAGGCGCAAGGCCUUCCUCCACUGGUACACGGGCGAGGGCAUGGAUGAGAUGGAAUUCACCGAGGCCGAGAGCAACAUGAAUGACCUGGUGUCUGAAUAUCAGCAAUAUCAGGAUGCCACGGCCAAGGAGGAGGAGGAUGAGGAGUAUGCUGAGGAGGAGGUGGCCUAGAACUCUCCUUUUCUAGGUAAAGCGGGGGAGGCAGUGUGUAUUCUUCACUGUGUUGUGACAGCUAUGUGUCACUACGCACUUGUUCAUUUGUGUCUUCACAUCUCCUGCUGCUGCAUUUUAAAGCACUUUUAUAGUGUGCAGUUUUGACUAAUAAAGUAUUCUCACAGCA